GGUCCUAUAGCUCAGCUGGUUAGAGCGUCGUACUAAUAUUAUAACACAUCUGAUGUUGUAACAUUGGUGAUGCGAAGGUCGUGAGUUCAAUCCUCACUGGGACCA
rnacentral:tRNA from 1 species